GAUGAACGCUGGCGGCGUGCUUAACACAUGCAAGUCGAACGGAAAGGUCAUGCUUUUGUGGGGUGCUCGAGUGGCGAACGGGUGAGUAAAACGUGAGUAAACUGCCCCUGACUUUGGGAUAAAUUCAGGAAACAGGGGCUAAUACCGGAUAGGAGCUCCUGAUGCAUGGUGGGGGUUGGAAAGUGUCGGCGGUUGGGGAUGGACUCGCGGGUUAUCCGCUUGUUGGUGGGGUAGUGGCUUAGUAGGGCUGGGACGGGUAGCCGACGUGAGAGGGUGGUCGGCGCCACGGGAAGGGAGCCGCGGUCCAGGGUCCUACGAGAGGCACCAGUAGGGAAUGGUCGGCAAUAGGGGGAAGCAUGACGGAGGGGCGGCGCGUGAGUGCUGAAGGGUCUCGGCUCGGAAAGCGCUCUUAUGAGUGAAGAACACAUGUGUCAGUAACCGUGCACGUAGUGACGGUACCUAAUAAGAAAGCCCCGGCUAACUACGUG
rnacentral:rRNA from 1 species